rnacentral:rRNA from 1 species
UACAGAGGUCUCAAGCGUUGUUCGGAAUCACUGGGCGUAAAGGGUGCGUAGGCCGCACGGUAAGUCAGAGGUGAAAUCCCGGAGCUCAACUUCGGAAUUGCCUCCGAUACUGCCGUGCUUGAGGACUGGAGAGGAGAUUGGAAUUCACAGUGGAGCAGUGAAAUGCGUAGAUAUUGUGAGGAACACUAGUGGCGAAGGCGAAUCUCUGGACAGUUCCUGACGCUGAGGCACGAAAGCCAGGGUAGCGAACGGG